CCGGCAGGAAAAAAGGAGGAGCGUCUUUUCUCUACGUCACUGGCAAGGAUUGCUUCACUGGACGCCCACUUGGACCUUUAAGCGCAGCCAAUCGCGCGUCAACGACCUCGUUGUUGCUCGACAAACAACCAGAAGUGGUUUUCCUAAACAAUCGACUGGUCAGGUUACGGGAAUGGUGACCACGUGCGGUUAGACGUCCAUGAGAAAAUGUGAAAAAAAUAGAUUUCUUUUUUACGAGUUUCAACUUGUCCCACUUUUUUUUGUAUAGGAACCCCUUUAGGGAAGCGGAGAACUAGAAGGAUGAGAGUAUUCGGACGAAAUCUCGCCACGAAAUCUUGACGGGUUGUAUUCCAUUCUAGACAUGCUCCUUAAUCUAGCCACGUCCAAGUCACGCAUUCUACAGCGUCUCGUUGCGUACGUGUCACGUCUGUCUGCCGUCUGGGAAAGGGAAGGACUCGGGUGUCUGGAGGCCGUUGCAUCAUGAGAAUGAAUCCAGUGAUCCUUCCCGAGUACCGUAUUAAGAAAAUUGGCUACGUUACGCCGGUUUUGUAACAGCCUUCGGACGAACACGAAGUAGCGUCGGCACGUGGAAAUCUAGUCAAGAAGAUUUCUUCAAUUUCUUCAAGGAUCUUUCAUUUUUAUCAUUAUGAAGAAUUUAUUGUAUAGUUGGACAGGUCUUCGAUCAACCAGGCGAAUAUUGUAUUACAGAAUAAUCUUUAAAAUAUUAUAAAAAGUAUCAUAACUUUUAGGAGAAAAAACUUGGAAGCUGUUCUGGAUGAAAAAAAUUAACGCGAGAUGAUUGGUAGGUGGCGGAGGUCAGAAGGCUGAAGAAAAUGUUAGAUCCCGAAACGGUGAACGACGACCUGAUUAACGACGUCAAAAAAUGCACGUUGCAUCGUCUGGCGGUGAGGUGGGGAGCCACUGACGAAAACUUCCUCCUCGCUCUCCGUUGCGCAUCUCGCAUCAUCUUUGUCGGCAUAGGAAGAGAGACGCAUAGACAAGGUCAGCGCAUUAAAUUAAAAUGUAUUACAUAACCUCAUAAGAGAGCAGUCCUAACUGCAGUCUGACUAGACACCCGGUGAUUAUGAGGGUGCUCAACUUAAGGCUGCUGCGUCGUUGCGAUCUAACUCACGUCCGCUUUACUAUAGACAUUGUAAGAAAUAAAUUAAUCCGUCUGAUACUAUAGAACCACUUUACAUCAGCCUCUCCCCUUGAUCUGCGUCCCUAAUCCACGUUGUUACCGUUGAGUAACACGUAUAAUUCUUUAGAUGAAGUAACUGCGAUUACUCUGUUCCUUUUCCUUCGACUGAAACCAGGCUAACCUUUGAAAUCGAGCAAGAGGAUUCUAGUAUCGGUGGAUUGUCCAGAUCACCCUGUAGAGUCCCGAGGAAGAAGCGGAACGACGGGUACACCGGAGGACUCUCAGCAGGCUACGCCAGUGCCGACACGAAUGCAUUUACGCGUCUAGACUUAAUAAAAUAAAAGAAACGCCUUCGCACCAGAGGCCAAGGUGGUGGAGGAGAAGGAGGGCGAUUUAAAAACAUAGCUAGGGACCACGGCGGAAUUUCCACAGCGCGUCCUUCCUGGCUUGCUUUUCGUUCCCGCGUCUGUCUUUCUCGACCACUCUGGUCGAUAAAUCAUUUUUCGCUGGCACCAGAAAUCUCUAAACGAUAUUAUGAAUCACUAAUUUUAUCACGAAAUCUUGACAUAAUCAUUUUAAAAUAGUUUACGUUCGUAACUGGAUUUGUUCAGAAAAAUAUCAGCGAGGAAAAGGGAGGCGAAGCGGUUGAAGAAGCGGACGCUGGUCAGCCCGAGGCGUAGAAAUUCAGUGGCGCUUCGUGGUUCUUCGUUUCAUCACGGUAGCCAUCGUCCAGGAUAAACUUUGCUAGACUACACCUCCUCCUCCUUCUUCUCCUACACACCUUCACAUCAGAAGAUGCCUGGAAAAUUCUGAAUCAAAUUUUCGUUGAACGCAUCGUGCGUUCGGACCAGUCUAC